UACGUAGGGUGCGAGCGUUGUCCGGAAUUAUUGGGCGUAAAGAGCUUGUAGGCGGUUUGUCGCGUCUGCUGUGAAAAUCCGAGGCUCAACCUCGGACUUGCAGUGGGUACGGGCAGACUAGAGUGUGGUAGGGGAGACUGGAAUUCCUGGUGUAGCGGUGGAAUGCGCAGAUAUCAGGAGGAACACCGAUGGCGAAGGCAGGUCUCUGGGCCGAUACUGACGCUGAGGAGCGAAAGCGUGGGGAGCGAACAGG
rnacentral:rRNA from 1 species